rnacentral:rRNA from 1 species
UACGAAGGGGGCGAGCGUUGUUCGGAUUUACUGGGCGUAAAGGGUGCGUAGGCGGGUUUUUAAGUCAGAGGUGAAAUCCUGGAGCUCAACUCCAGAACUGCCUUUGAUACUGAAAGUCUUGAGUAUGGGAGAGGUGAGUGGAACUGCGAGUGUAGAGGUGAAAUUCGUAGAUAUUCGCAAGAACACCAGUGGCGAAGGCGGCUCACUGGCCCAUUACUGACGCUGAGGCACGAAAGCGUGGGGAGCAAACAGG